UACGUAGGUGGCAAGCGUUGUCCGGAUUUACUGGGCGUAAAGAGCGCGCAGGCGGUCGUCCAAGUCGCGUGUGAAAGCCCCCGGCUCAACUGGGGAGGGUCACGCGAUACUGGUCGACUCGAAGGCAGGAGAGGGUAGUGGAAUUCCCGGUGUAGUGGUGAAAUGCGUAGAUAUCGUGAGGAAGACCAGUGGCGAAGGCGGGUCUCUGGACAGUUCCUGACGCUGAGGCGCGAAGGCCAGGGGAGCAAACGGG
rnacentral:rRNA from 1 species